rnacentral:rRNA from 1 species
ACUCCUACGGGAGGCAGCAGUGGGGAAUUUUGCACAAUGGGGAACCCGUAGCAUGCAGCGACGCCGCGUGAUUUAGAAGGCCUUCGGGUUGUAAAAUCUUUUGUAUAGGAAGAAAUGACAGUACUAUACGAAUAAGGUCCGGCUAAUUACGUGCCAGCAGCCGCGGUAAUACGUAAGGACCGAGCGUUGUCCGGAAUCAUUGGGCGUAAAGGGUACGUAGGCGGCUAGAAAAGUUAGAAGUCAAAGGCUAUAGCUCAACUAUAGUAAGCUUCUAAAACUAUUUAGCUUGAGAAAUGGAAGGGAAAGUGGAAUUCCUAGUGUAGCGGUGGAAUGCGCAGAUAUUAGGAAGAAUACCGGUGGCGAAGGCGACUUUCUGGCCAUUAUCUGACGCUGAGGUACGAAAGCGUGGGUAGCAAACAGGAUUAGAUACCCUGGUAGCUACGAG